AAUUGACGGGGCCCGCACAAGCAGUGGAGUAUGUGGUUUAAUUCGAAGCAACGCGAAGAACCUUACCAGGUCUUGACAUCCCGAUGCUAUUUCUAGAGAUAGAAAGUUACUUCGGUACAUCGGUGACAGGUGGUGCAUGGUUGUCGUCAGCUCGUGUCGUGAGAUGUUGGGUUAAGUCCCGCAACGAGCGCAACCCCUAUUGUUAGUUGCCAUCAUUCAGUUGGGCACUCUAGCGAGACUGCCGGUAAUAAACCGGAGGAAGGUGGGGAUGACGUCAAAUCAUCAUGCCCCUUAUGACCUGGGCUACACACGUGCUACAAUGGUUGGUACAACGAGUUGCGAGUCGGUGACGGCGAGCUAAUCUCUUAAAGCCAAUCUCAGUUCGGAUUGUAGGCUGCAACUCGCCUACAUGAAGUCGGAAUCGCUAGUAAUCGCGGAUCAGCACGCCGCGGUGAAUACGUUCCCGGGCCUU
rnacentral:rRNA from 1 species